GACAGAGGAUGCAAGCGUUAUCCGGAAUCACUGGGCGUAAAGCGUCUGUAGGUGGUUUAAAAAGUCCACUGUUAAAAAUUGAAGCUUAACUUCAAAGAUGCCGUGGAAACUUUUAAACUUGAGUAUGGUAGGGGUAGAGGGAAUUUCCAGUGGAGCGGUGAAAUGCGUAGAUAUUGGAAAGACCACCAAUGGCGAAGGCACUCUACUGGGCCAUUACUGACACUGAGAGACGAAAGCUAGGGGAGCAAAUGGG
rnacentral:rRNA from 1 species